AGCUCCCGGUGUGAGUGGGGGCUUGGCCUCUCUGUGCCCGCACUUGGCAUCUGGUCCUCA
rnacentral:precursor_RNA from 1 species